UACGUAGGUGGCAAGCGUUGUCCGGAAUUACUGGGCGUAAAGGGCGUGUAGGCGGUUUUUUAAGUCAGACGUGAAAUCUCUGGGCUUAACCCAGAAGCUGCGUUUGAUACUGGAGAGCUUGAGGACCGGAGAGGGUAGUGGAAUUCCCAGUGUAGCGGUGAAAUGCGUAGAUAUUGGGAGGAACACCAGUGGCGAAGGCGACUACCUGGACGGCACCUGACGCUGAGGCGCGAAAGCUAGGGGAG
rnacentral:rRNA from 1 species